AAGGGAGGCAUGAUGAAGAAUUGAAGACAUGAAUGGUGAUCUUAUCGGCGAACUGAUAGAGUUGGAGUAGAAGGAGAGGGGUUCGAGGGGCGAUACGAAUCAAAGUUGGAGUGGAAAGAGAUAGGGGCACCAAUCAAAAUCCAAAUUGGGGGUAAAGAGGAGAUAUUAGAAUGGGAGAAAAGGGGAGGCAUUGGCUGUUGGAGCCACAGUUGAAGUGAGAAG
rnacentral:lncRNA from 1 species